rnacentral:pre_miRNA from 1 species
UCUUCAUUUCACAUGCUCUCUCACCGGUCACAGAGACUAGAGAGUGUGUGAAAUGAAGAGA